rnacentral:sRNA from 1 species
CUAUAAUCUUAAUCGUGUGGUGCAUUAUGCUAGUCAUUACACUAUUUGAAGGUAGGGCUAAAAAUCUACCAAUUGUACAAAUGAGACUUCGUGUAUUUGCUUCUUCUGCCCAAGUUGGGGUGAGUAUAUGAUUUAAAAUCUAAGGAAACUUCAUAAUGGCAUAUGAAAACAUUCCUUUUAUUGCCUCACUUAUACAAAUAAUGAUUAACGUACAUGAUGUGAGUGAUUACUAGGGAUAUUAUUUGAAAUAGUAAUUGCAAAAGCAUAUAAGGAUAGUCACUUAUGUUAGGGAAAACCUCUAGCGUGUAUAUAUCGUAGGUAUUAAAGUGCGGACUAAGUGGUAAUCGAGUAGUUAGACCGGCAACGCCUAGCUGCUUCAUUUAAAACGAAAGUGCUUUAGGGUAACCGAAAGUAUGAAAGUAGAGAAAUUCAACUCGACCAAAGCCGUAAAAUUGAUCUAUGAUAUACCAUACAACUAUACUUUAAU